rnacentral:lncRNA from 1 species
GUCAACCGCAGGUUAUUAUCGGAGUCUCCGGGUUAUUAAAGGCGACUCCAGAGUGCAUAAGAUUCUUGUUGUGUAAAGGUCAUCUCAGGAUGUUCAGGGUCUUGCUGCUCCUGUUGGCCGUGGCGGGUCUCCAUGCAAGACCACUGCACCGAUUCCCAAAUGGUAAAUUAAAACAAAUUGGGCCACAAAUGGUCCAAGAUGAACACAGGGAUAGCUCAGUUCUGAAGCACAUGAACACUGAUGUGAAACCCAAGAAGCAAUUACCAGUUCCCGCUGAGUUCUGCAGACAGGGAACAGAACCUUCCAGACGCUUCCUGAUGGACCUGAACACUGGGAUGCUCAAGCGUGGAGUUGGCGAAAUGAACAGAAGAGUUUCAGGAUUGGAUGAGUUCAGACAAGGCACUGAGAACAAGCUGCACACCCUGCAAGAGCUCAGAAUGCGUCCCAUGAUGAGAUCGCAGUACAGCGCUCAGAGCGAAAAACACGAGCAGAGAGCAAUCCCUGCCGAGGUGUACAGAAAAUGCACUGAAACUUCUAGAAAUGUCCUGAUGGACCAGAACACCGGUCUGCUCAAAGAACACAGGAACGAGAUGGACAGGAGAGUAGGGGGCUCAGCUAAAUGGGAAGUGGUUUCUGAGCAUGAGGACACAAGAAGCCAAGACUCUUCUGAACAUAAGGAGAACCACAAAGCAGUUCCUGUUGAGAUCCGCAGGCAGGGAACAGAACCUUCCAGACGCAUCCUGAUUGACACGAACACUGGGAUGCCCAAGGAGGAACUCAGCGAAAUGAACAGAAGAGUUUCCGGCUUCUACAAUCCAGCACCUAUUGAGAAGAGGCAAGGAACAGAACCUUCCAGACGCUUCCUGAUGGACAUGGACACUGGGAUGCUCAAGCAUGAAGUUGGCGAAAUGAACAGAAGAGUUUCUGGCUUCUACAAUCCAGCACCUAUUGAGAAGAGGCAAGGAACAGAACCUUCCAGCCGCUUCCUGAUGGACAUGGACACUGGGAUGCUCAAGCAUGAAGUUGGCGAAAUGAACAGAAGAGUUUCUGGCUGUAUGUCUGCAAAGCCAUUUUUUUUUUUAAAUAUCAACGCACCGCUGCACAAACAAGACACUGAACCUUCCAGAAACCUCCUGAUGGACCUGAACGCCGGUCUACUCAAAGAACAUAGGAAUGAGAUGGACAGGAGAGUAGGGGGCUCAGCUAAAUGGGAAGUGGUUUCGGAGCAUGAGGACAUAAGAAGCCAAGACUCUUCUGAACAUAAGGAGAAUCACAAAGCAGUUCCUGUUGAGAUCCGCAGGCAGGGAACAGAACCUUCCAGACGCAUCCUGAUUGACACGAACACUGGGAUGCCCAAGGAGGAACUCAGCGAAAUGAACAGAAGAGUUUCUGGCUGUAAGUCUGCAAAAUAAUUUGCAUUAUAGAUUU